rnacentral:snoRNA from 1 species
AGAAUAGUUUGUGCUACACAGUGUCGAGGCCAGCCUGAACUUUGGGAUCAAGGUCUUGGCCUAGUACUGCCCUUCUGAACACUUCUACCACUGGCCAGCCUCCAAAUUCCUGUACACAG